AACAGGGAGUGGCAGACGGGUGAGUAACGCGUGGGAAUCUACCUUGUGGUACGGAACAACCAAGGGAAACUUUGGCUAAUACCGUAUGAGCCCUUCGGGGGAAAGAUUUAUCGCCAUAAGAUGAGCCCGCGUAGGAUUAGCUAGUUGGUGAGGUAAUGGCUCACCAAGGCGACGAUCCUUAGCUGGUCUGAGAGGAUGACCAGCCACACUGGGACUGAGACACGGCCCAGACUCCUACGGGAGGCAGCAGUGGGGAAUAUUGGACAAUGGGCGCAAGCCUGAUCCAGCCAUGCCGCGUGUGUGAUGAAGGCCUUAGGGUUGUAAAGCACUUUCGCCGAUGAAGAUAAUGACUGUAGUCGGAGAAGAAGCCCCGGCUAACUUCGUGCCAGCAGCCGCGGUAAUACGAAGGGGGCUAGCGUUGUUCGGAAUUACUGGGCGUAAAGCGUACGUAGGCGGAUUGUUAAGUGAGGGGUGAAAUCCCGAGGCUCAACCUCGGAACUGCCUUUCAUACUGGCAAUCUUGAGUCCGGGAGAGGUGAGUGGAACUCCUAGUGUAGAGGUGAAAUUCGUAGAUAUUAGGAAGAACACCAGUGGCGAA
rnacentral:rRNA from 1 species